GUAAAGAAUUGUCAUUCAAACGCCACACUUGUGGCGUUCUGCCAACAGUGCCUUGAAAGAGGAAGGACACAGCGUCACGUGACUUGCCAGAUUCCAACAGUGUUAUACGGAAACUGCGAGAGAAUAUACACAGAAUGGGUUGGUGGACAGAAAGACGAGCUUUCGCGAGACGAAGGACACAGGGCAACCGAGAUUCUCAUGGUCAAUCUGGUACCAAGAAUGGGUAAACGCUUCUGGGCAUUGAUGAAAAAAAGACUGCUUUGUUUGUGGCGAACACCUUCCCUGUUGGCGACUGGUUGGAUACUGCCGGUUGUUAUAGCGUACCUUAGUCUUUUGGCUGUAAUCCGCUCUCAAGUGGCACCAC